rnacentral:pre_miRNA from 1 species
AUAGUACUUCUUCCGUCUGAAAAAACUUGUCCCAAACUUGUCCCUUAAAUGGACGUAUCUAACACUAACUUAAUGCUAGAUAUAUCCGUUUGAGGGACAAACUUUUUUGGACGGAGAGAGUACUAU